rnacentral:rRNA from 1 species
GACGAACGCUGGCGGCGUGCUUAACACAUGCAAGUCGAGCGAUGAAGUUCCUUCGGGAAUGGAUUAGCGGCGGACGGGUGAGUAACACGUGGCUAACCUGCCUCAUAGAGGGGAAUAGCCUUCCGAAAGGAAGAUUAAUACCGCAUAAGAUUGUAGUACCGCAUGGUACAGCAAUUAAAGGAGUAAUCCGCUAUGAGAUGGACCCGCGUCGCAUUAGCUAGUUGGUGAGGUAACGGCUCACCAAGGCGACGAUGCGUAGCCGACCUGAGAGGGUGAUCGGCCACAUUGGGACUGAGAACCGGCCCAGACUCCUACGGGAGGCAGCAGUGGGGAAUAUUGCACAAUGGGGGAGACCCUGAUGCAGCAACGCCGCGUGAGUGAUGACGGUCUUCGGAUUGUAAAGCUCUGUCUUCAGGGACGAUAAUGACGGUACCUGAGGAGGAAGCCACGGCUAACUACGUGCCAGCAGCCGCAGUAACAC